AUUGAACGCUGGCGGCAUGCCUUACACAUGCAAGUCGAACGGUAACGGGCCUUCGGGUGCCGACGAGUGGCGAACGGGUGAGUAAUACAUCGGAACGUGCCCGAUCGUGGGGGAUAACGAGGCGAAAGCUUUGCUAAUACCGCAUACGAUCUACGGAUGAAAGCCGGGGACCGCAAGGCCUUGCGCGGACGGAGCGGCCGAUGGCAGAUUAGGUAGUUGGUGGGAGAAAAGCUUACCAAGCCGACGCUCUGUAGCUGGUCUGAGAGGAUGAUCAGCCACACUGGGACUGAGACACGGCCCAGACUCCUACGGGAGGCAGCAGUGGGGAAUUUUGGACAAUGGGCGCAAGCCUGAUCCAGCCAUGCCGCGUGCAGGAUGAAGGCCUUCGGGUUGUAAACUGCUUUUGUACGGAACGAAAAGCCUUCUUUUAAUACAGGAGGGUCAUGACGGUACCGUAAGAAUAAGCACCGGCUAACUACGUG
rnacentral:rRNA from 1 species